UGAAACCGUCAUUUGGGGAUUUUGGGGGGGUCUUGAAACCACCAAUCAGGUGUUUUGGGGUGCCCCAAAAAUAUCUGUUAGGACUGGGCCCCAAAAAUGGUAUUUAGGACUUUUGGGGUGCCCUGAAACUGUCAAUUAGGAACUUUGGGGUGCCUUGAAACCGUCAUUUGGGGAUUUCGGGCGGUCUUGAAACCACCAAUCGGGUGUUUUGGGGUGCCCCCAAAAAUGUUAGUUAGGACUGGGCCCCAAAAAUGGUAUUAAGAUUUUUUUGGGGUGCCUUGAAACCGCCAAUUAGGAACUUUGGGGUGCCUUGAAACCGUCAUUUGGGGAUUUCGGGCGGUCUUGAAACCACCAAUCGGGUGUUUUGGGGGGGUCUUGAAACCACCAAUUGGGUGUUUUGGGGUGCCCCAAAAAUAUCUGUUAGGACUGGGCCCCAAAAAUGGUAUUUAGGAAUUUUGGGGUGCCCUGAAACCGCCAGUGUCUCCUGGAUCUAUGGGGGUGCCUUGAAACCACCAAUUUCUCCAUGGACCUAUGGGGAGCCCCGAAACCGCCAAUACAUUCAAAGAUCUAUGGGGUACCCCAAAACCAUGAUAGACCUAUGGGGUGCCUCGAAACCACCAAUUUCACCAUGGACCUAUGGGGUACCCCGAAACCACUGGUGUCUCCUGGACCUUUGGGGGUGCCUUGAAACCCCCAAUUUCUCUGUGGACUUAUGGGGUACCCCAAAACUGCUGGUGUCUCCUGGACCUAUGGGGUGCCUUGAAACCCCCAAUUUCUCUGUGGACCUAUGGGGUACCCCGAAACCACCGGUGUCUCCUGGAUCUAUGGGGGUGCCUCGAAACCCCCAAUUUCUCCAUGGACCUAUGGGGAGCCCCAAAACCCCCAAUACAUUCAAAGAUCUAUGGGGUACCCCAA
rnacentral:lncRNA from 1 species